AAACAUGUUUCAUGCACGUUCAAAAUAUGUUACAUAUUACCUGUCCUAAUUAUUAGAUCACUUGUUUUUUUGUUGUUGUUGUUUUACCUUACCCUAGUGAGAAAAUGUACAUGAAACACAAAUACGCACUGUCCCCACUAUUUUCAAGUUUCAAGGUUUAUUUGUCAAAUGCACCGAAUAUUACAGCGUCAUCCUGCACAAUGAAAUUAUUGUGAAAUGGCACCAGACAACUACAUAGUUAGGCCAUAUUUAUAGAUUUCUAUCUUCAGUUUUUAGUGAAUAACCUGAUAAAAAUCGUUGUUGUAGCUUAAAAAAUAAGAAGCCAAAAGAACGACUCCUCCACCAGCGCGAUUCGAUCCUUAACGUUCACCUAAAAGAGACGUUAAAAAGAGACGUUCGUUAGCGAACGACCCAUAAUUGUAGACCAGGUGUGUGCCUCGCCUUCUCUACAAGAACACUGUAAGGGAAGCAGUUCAGACAAAACGCUGCCUGUAACUACUGUAUAGUUUAAUUUGGAUACUUCAAGAUGUGGGGUCAAAACCAAGGAAACUUUUAUCCUCCUGGCUACCACGGGAACCCAAAUGUUCAACAGCCUGGGGGAUAUCCAGUGCCAGGGGGAUAUCCAGUGCCAGGGGGAUAUCCAGGGCAACAGCCAAUGCCAGGGGGAUACCCAGUGCCAGGGCAACAGCCAAUGCCAGGGGGAUACCCAAGCCCAGGGGGAUAUCCCCCUGGAAUGAUCCAGGCCCCAGUGGGUCCUUCUUACCAGCCCUAUCCAGUGCAGUGUACCUUUGGAUGUGUUGGGCAAUGUAGCCACGGGCACCACGGGCACCACGGGCACCACGGGCACCACGGGCACCACGGACACCACGGACACCACGGACACCAUGGACUCGUCCAGGGGAUUCUGAAUAUUGGAAGACACAAGCACAGGCAUGGCCAUUGGCAUGUUGGUUGUCACAAGAGGGGGAGGCAUUGUCAUGGGGUGAGAAAUCUUAUAAAACAUUUUGAAGGUACUGUUAUUAAAAACCUGCAUUAAGAAAGUAGAAAAAUUAAGAGGUUUCUUUUUGUCUCCAUCAUUCAGGAUUCCAGCAGCUCCUGCAGUAGUGACUCUGACUAAAGCCAGACUGACAUGAUAUCAUUCCUCUGAUGAGCCCUAACAGUCGUGGGCCCUGUUUUCUAAAAUAAAUCCAUCUGGAUUUCACUGGAUAUCAAUGCAUAUUGUUAGAAUGACUACAACUAUGUUUAGCUAAAUAUAUUGCUCUAAUCCCAAACUCUCAUCCUUAAUGUCUGUACUCCAGGCCAUUGAGCUACCUUGCUCAUGUCUUUAAAUGUCUGUGUAAUCUUUUUUGUGAAAUAAAAUAAAUAAUACUUUAUAGAGGAUUUCUCAUUUUUCUUUGUACAACAGCUGUCCAAUUAUGUGUAGAUCAUUACUAAAAGUAAUGUUUUGGAUAUGCCAAAUAAUGUGACCAUGACCAAAUGUUUUUAUUUUUGUUAAUGCAUAAUUUGUUGUGCCCAAUACUACAGUCAUGUGAAAAGUAGACCCCCUGGAAAGUUGUCUUUUUACAUAUUUGGGGGGGAAAGACAACUUCAGCACUUGACAGAUUAAGG
rnacentral:lncRNA from 1 species